rnacentral:rRNA from 1 species
AGUGAACGCUGGCGGUAGGCCUAACACAUGCAAGUCGGGCGGCAGCACAGUAAGAGCUUGCUCUUACGGGUGGCGAGUGGCGGACGGGUGAGGAAUACAUCGGAAUCUACUUUUUCGUGGGGGAUAACGUAGGGAAACUUACGCUAAUACCGCAUACGACCUACGGGUGAAAGCAGGGGAUCUUCGGACCUUGCGCGAUUGAAUGAGCCGAUGUCGGAUUAGCUAGUUGGCGGGGUAAAGGCCCACCAAGGCGACGAUCCGUAGCUGGUCUGAGAGGAUGAUCAGCCACACUGGAACUGAGACACGGUCCAGACUCCUACGGGAGGCAGCAGUGGGGAAUAUUGGACAAUGGGCGCAAGCCUGAUCCAGCCAUACCGCGUGGGUGAAGAAGGCCUUCGGGUUGUAAAGCCCUUUUGUUGGGAAAGAAAAGCAGCAGGUUAAUACCCCGCUGUUCUGACGGUACCCAAAGAAUAAGCACCGGCUAACUUCGUG